UGCCAGACUCCUACGGGAGGUAGCAGUGGGGAAUAUUGCACAAUGGGCGAAAGCCUGAUGCAGCGACGCCGCGUGAGUGAAGAAGUAUUUCGGUAUGUAAAGCUCUAUCAGCAGGGAAGAAAAUGACGGUACCUGACUAAGAAGCCCCGGCUAACUACGUGCCAGCAGCCGCGGUAAUACGUAGGGGGCAAGCGUUAUCCGGAUUUACUGGGUGUAAAGGGAGCGCAGGCGGCGUGGCAAGUCAGAUGUGAAAACCCGGGGCCCAACCCCGGGAGUGCAUUUGAAACUGCCAUGCUGGAGUGCCGGAGAGGUAAGCGGAAUUCCUAGUGUAGCGGUGAAAUGCGUAGAUAUUAGGAGGAACACCAGUGGCGGAGGCGGCUUACUGGACGGUAACUGACGCUGAGGCUCGAAAGCGUGGGGAGCAAACAGGAUUAGAUACCCGUGUAA
rnacentral:rRNA from 1 species